rnacentral:rRNA from 1 species
AUUGAACGCUGGCGGCAGGCCUAACACGUGCAAGUCGAGCGGAUGAAGGGAGCUUGCUCCUGGAUUCAGCGGCGGACGGGUGAGUAAUGCCUAGGAAUCUGCCUGGUAGUGGGGGAUAACGUCCGGAAACGGGCGCUAAUACCGCAUACGUCCUGAGGGAGAAAGUGGGGGAUCUUCGGACCUCACGCUAUCAGAUGAGCCUAGGUCGGAUUAGCUAGUUGGUGGGGUAAAGGCCUACCAAGGCGACGAUCCGUAACUGGUCUGAGAGGAUGAUCAGUCACACUGGAACUGAGACACGGUCCAGACUCCUACGGGAGGCAGCAGUGGGGAAUAUUGGACAGUGGGCGAAAGCCUGAUCCAGCCAUGCCGCGUGUGUGAAGAAGGUCUUCGGAUUGUAAAGCACUUUAAGUUGGGAGGAAGGGCAGUAAGUUAAUACCUUGCUGUUUUGACGUUACCAACAGAAUAAGCACCGGCUAACUUCGU